GGAGGAACAGAAGAAGGAAACAGAAAGAAGGGGAGGAGAAAGGAAUGGUGGAGCACUUAUUAAACACCUACUUAGCACCCGAUUGUGUGCUGGCGCUUUGCUCAGGCACACUGUGGUUCACGCAGAGCAUUUUUGUGUUUUCUUGUACCAGUCCCAGGGGAUCCGGGUUCUUCUUAUCCCCCUUUUACAGAUAAGUAAACUGAGGCACAGAGAGGUUAAGUGACUUGCCCAGGCUCAUGCUUGGGCCAGAAUCAGAAGUCUGGUCUCUCUGACUCCAGCCCCAGUCUAUCCACCACCAUUUAGACGUAGAAGCAGCAGCACCUGUGGCCCAGCACAACUUGUUUAAUAGGAUGCCGAUCCUGGAAUAAAAGGCAUCAGGAGAGGCUUGUCGGAGAAGAUGGAACUUGAAGGAAGCUGGAAGGUGGCUUGGUCAUCCAGGCGUGAGAUGCUGAAGGUGUUCCAUGGGAAUGUUAGCAGAGUGUGGGCAGUGACAGGAGCCGAGGAUACCAUCCAAAUUGCCAAUCUGGAAACUGGGAGCAACCAGGGUGAAGUGACCGGCCAGGCGCCAAGUACCUGAGGCUGGAUUUGAACUCAGGAACGUGUCUUCUGUGCACUUCAUUACCUCCUACUGAUGUGGGAAAGAUUCCAAUCUUUGAUUCCCAACCCCCCUAGCUAAUGUAAAUUACCCUUUGACUCACAAAUCCUGGUCCCUUUGAAUUCCAAUAGAAGGUCC